GUAAACAAAGCAAAUAUAUAGUCAAAAACACUAAAAAGCGAAUAUAUCAGAAAAUGCAGAGGACUUUCUCAUUUGUAGAUCCAAAAAGAAGAAAUGUGUGAUGGUUAAGAGCUUGAGCUUUGACUCCAUAACUUGCUAGUAGACAUAGGACUUUGAGCAAUUACUUUAGCAUUGCUGAGCCUCAGGUUACUCAUCUAAUAUAGAAUUGUGGAGAAAAAGAAGUAAGAAGCUGCAAAUGGUGGCACACACCUGUAAUCCUAGUGGCUCCAGAGGCUGGGGCAGGAGGAUCACCAGUUUAAAACCAGCCUCUGAAACUUAGCAAGUUUCUAAGCAACUUAUUGAGACCCUGUCUCAAAAUAAAACAUUUACAAAAAUGGGCUGGGACCCAAAGGACUUAAAAUCAGCAUAUUACAGUGAUGAUGAAGCCACAUCAGUGUUUAUAAGCAGCUCAAUUUACAAUAACUAAACUGUGGAACCAACCUAAGUGCCCUUCAACAGAUGAAUGGAUAAAGAAAUUAUGGUAUGUAUGUGUGUGUGUGUGUGUGUGUGUGUAUACACACACACAUACAUACAUACAUACAUACAUACAUAAUGGAGUAUUAGCCUUAAGGAAGAGUGAAAUUAUGGCAUUUUCCAGUAAAUGGAUGGAGUUGGAGAAUAUCAUACUAAGUGAAAUAAAUCAAUCCCAAAAAAACAAAAGGCAAAAUAUUUUCUCUGAUAUGCAGAUGCUAAUUCGCAAUAAGAGGGGGUGGAUAG
rnacentral:lncRNA from 1 species